GAGGAGGGCCGGAGGCAAUAAGUACUGCUAAUACUUACACCCAUGGUUAAAUUCCAUGGCUUCCUUGAG
rnacentral:tRNA from 2 species